GACGAACGCUGGCGGCGUGCUUAACACAUGCAAGUCGAACGGAAAGGCCCUGCUUUUGUGGGGUGCUCGAGUGGCGAACGGGUGAGUAACACGUGAGUAACCUGCCCUUGACUUUGGGAUAACUUCAGGAAACUGGGGCUAAUACCGGAUAGGAGCUCCUGCUGCAUGGUGGGGGUUGGAAAGUUUCGGCGGUUGGGGAUGGACUCGCGGCUUAUCAGCUUGUUGGUGGGGUAGUGGCUUACCGAGGCUUUGACGGGUAGCCGGCCUGGGAGGGUGACCGGCCACAUUGGGACUGAGAUACGGCCCAGACUCCUACGGGAGGCAGCAGUGGGGAAUAUUGCACAAUGGGCGGAAGCCUGAUGCAGCAACGCCGCGUGCGGGAUGACGGCCUUCGGGUUGUAAACCGCUUUCGCCUGUGACGAAGCGUGAGUGACGGUAAUGGGUAAAGAAGCACCGGCUAACUACGUG
rnacentral:rRNA from 1 species